GGGGUUGUAGCUCAGGGGUAGAGCGUUCACCUAGCAUGUGUGAGGCUCUGGGAUCGAUUAUCAGCACCACA
rnacentral:tRNA from 1 species